rnacentral:rRNA from 1 species
UACGUAGGGGGCAAGCGUUAUCCGGAAUUAUUGGGCGUAAAGAGUACGUAGGCGGACUUUUAGGCGCAGGGUUUAAGGCCAUGGCUUAACCAUUGAUCGCCCUGUGAAAUGGGAGACUUGAGUGCAGGAGAGGAAAGUGGAAUUCCUAGUGUAGCGGUGAAACGCGUAGAUAUUACGAGGAACACCCGUGGCGAAGGCGAAUUUCUGGACUGUUACUGACACUGAGGUACGAAAGCGUGGGGAGCAAACAGAGAUUAGAUACCCUGGUAGUCCACGCCGUAAACGAUGAGCACUAGGUCUCGGGGUCGCAAGGCUUCGGUGCCGCAGAUAACGCAUUAAGUGCUCCGGCUGGGGAGUACGUUCGCCAGAAUGAAACUCAAAGGAAUUGACGGGGACCCGCACAAGCAGCGGAGCAUGUGGUUUAAUUCGAAGCCACGCGAAGCACCUUCCCAGGACUUGACAUCCUUCUGACAGGACCUUUACCGGUCCCUCCUUCGGGCAGAAGAGACAGGUGGUGCAUGGUUGUCGUCACCUCGUGUCGCGAGAUGUUGGGUUAAGUCCCGCAACGAGCGCAACCCUUGUCAUUAGUUGCCAUCAUUUAGUUGGGCACUCUAGUGAGACUGCCGGGGAUAACUCGGAGGAAGGUGGGGAUGACGUCAAAUCAUCAUGCCCCUUAUAAUCUGGGCUACACACGUGCUACAAUGGCGGGUACAAAGAGCCGCAAGCCCGCGAGGGGGAGCAAAUCUUCAAAACCAGUCCCAGUUCGGAUUGUAGGCUGAAACUCGCGUGCAUGAAGUCGGAGUUGCUAGUAAUCGCGAAUCAGAAUGUCGCGGUGAAUGCGUUCCCGGGUCU